rnacentral:rRNA from 1 species
UCCGAAGGGGGCUAGCGUUGCUCGGAAUCACUGGGCGUAAAGGGUGCGUAGGCGGGUUUUUAAGUCAGAGGUGAAAUCCUGGAGCUCAACUCCAGAACUGCCUUUGAUACUGAAAGUCUUGAGUAUGGGAGAGGUGAGUGGAACUGCGAGUGUAGAGGUGAAAUUCGUAGAUAUUCGCAAGAACACCAGUGGCGAAGGCGGCUCACUGGCCCAUAACUGACGCUGAGGCACGAAAGCGUGGGGAGCAAACAGG